rnacentral:rRNA from 1 species
CAUUUAGUGGCGGACGGGUGAGGUAACACGUGGGUAACCUGCCCGUGUACCGGGGGAUAACACUUAGAAAUAGGUGAUAAUACCGCAUAAGCGCACACUGACGCAUGUCAGAGUGUGAAAAACUCCGGUGGUACAGGAUGGACCCGCGUCUGAUUAGCUAGUUGGUGAGGUAACGGCCACCAAGGCGACGAUCAAUAGCCGGCCUGAGAGGGCAAUCGGCCACAUUGGGACUGAGACACGGCCCAAACUCCUACGGGAGGCAGCAGUGGGGAAUAUUGCACAAUGGGGGAAACCCUGAUGCAGCGACGCCCGCGUGAGUGAAGAAGUAUUUCGGUAUGUAAAGCUCUAUCAGCAGGGAAGAUGAUGACGGUACCUGACUAAGAAGCCCCGGCUAACUACGUGCCAGCAGCAGC